rnacentral:rRNA from 1 species
AAAAAAUUUUUAAUAUAUUAAAAUGGGGGGUUUUAGUAUUUUUAAAGAAUAAAUUUUUUAAUUUAUAGUUAAAUAGUAUUGUAGAAGAAYUUUGAAAUAAUUUAAAUAUUAAUUUGUUUUAAAGUAAUUUUAAUUUAGUGUAUCUUGUGUAUCAGAGUUUAUUAAAAAUUUUUAUUAUUUAAUAAUUUCUCGAAUUUAAAAGAGAUAAUUAAUUAUAAAAGUUAUUGUUGCAUAAAUAUUUUUAAUAAUUAAUUUGAAAUGAAAUGUUAAUCGUUUUUAAAUAUAUCUAGUUUUUUCAGAAAAAAAUUAAAUUUUAUAUUAAAUAUAAAAAUUAAUUAAAUAAUUAAUUAAUUUUUAUAUUUAAUUUUAUAUUUUAAGGGAUAAGCUUUAAAUUAAAUUUAUAUAAAAUUUGUUUUAUAGAAUAAUUGAAAUUUAUAUAAUUUAUAUUUUUAAUUAAUUUUAAUUUAUUAUAAAUAAUUUCAUUUAAAAUAAAAUUUAAUAAAUUUUUAUUUUUUUAUGGGAAAAUAAUUUUUAAUGGUUAAAAAUUAGAUAUAAUGAUAAAAUUAGUAUAUAAAUUUUAUAUAAAAUUUUAAUUAUUUUUGUUAAUUAAUUAAAAGUAAUUCGGCAAAAAUUUAUAUUCACUUGUUUAUCAAAAACAUGUCUUUUUGAAAAUAAUAUAAAGUCUAAUCUGCCCACUGAUAAUUUAUUAAAGGGCUGCAGUAUUUUGACUGUACAAAGGUAGCAUAAUCAUUAGUCAUUUAAUUGAUGACUUGUAUGAAAGAUUGGAUGAAAUAUAAACUGUCUCUUAAUUAAAUUAUAGAAAUUAAUUUUUUAAUUAAAAAGUUAAAAUAAAUUAAAAAGACGAGAAGACCCUAUAGAGUUUUAUAAAUUAAUUAAUUAUAGUUAUUUAUAAAUUUAAUAUAAAAAUUAAUUUAUUUAUUUUGUUGGGGUGAUAAAAAAAUAAAAAAAACUUUUUUUAUAAAAUUAACAUAAAUAAGUGAUUAUUUGAUCCAUUAAUAAUGAUUAUAAGAAAAAAUUACCUUAGGGAUAACAGCGUAAUUUUUUUUUUUAGUUCGUAUAAGAAAAAGAGUUUGCGACCUCGAUGUUGGAUUAAGAUAAAAUUUAAAUGCAGAAGUUUAAAAUUUUUGAUCUGUUCGAUCAUUAAAAUCUUACAUGAUCUGAGUUCAAACCGGUUUAAGCCAGGUUGGUUUCUAUCUUUUAAUAAAUAAAAUAUUUUAGUACGAAAGGAUUAAAUAUUUAAAUUAAAUUUAUUUGAAUUGAAUAUUAUU